AAAGUUCUCAACUGUAUAUUCUUCCUUAAGGUCCUCAACAUUGUCUGCUUCAAUACCCUUUUUUUAGCAAUUUUACAUCAAUUUCAUCUGAAUCCAAAUCCCCGCUUGAAUAAUUAUCCAACGUCUCUCUUCCACAAACCUGCAUUAUAAAAGUAAAAAACCAACUUUUAAUACUUAAAAGUGACUUUUAUCUCCUAAUCAAUGUUCUCACAAAAUUAAUAUCAUACGUACCAAAGAAAUGGAAUGAUUCGGAGAUAUGGACUGAUCCAUGGUGAUGUCUGGUGUUGACUGUGUGGAUGAUGGAGGGUGGCACCUGUGAGAAAAUGGUGAAAAUGAUAAAGUGGUAAAGGUGUGAGAGUGUUUCUGCCAAAAAGAG
rnacentral:lncRNA from 1 species